rnacentral:rRNA from 1 species
CAGUAGCCGCGGUAAUACGUAGGUGGCAAGCGUUGUCCGGAAUUAUUGGGCGUAAAGGGCUCGCAGGCGGUUUCUUAAGUCUGAUGUGAAAGCCCCCGGCUCAACCGGGGAGGGUCAUUGGAAACUGGGAAACUUGAGUGCAGAAGAGGAGAGUGGAAUUCCACGUGUAGCGGUGAAAUGCGUAGAGAUGUGGAGGAACACCAGUGGCGAAGGCGACUCUCUGGUCUGUAACUGACGCUGAGGAGCGAAAGCAUGGGGAGCGAACAGGAUUAGAUACCCGUGUAGUCCCUGUCUCUUAUAC